rnacentral:rRNA from 1 species
GAUGAACGCUAGCGGCAGGCCUAACACAUGCAAGUCGAGGGAGAGGUUACCUUCGGGUAACCAAAACCGGCGCACGGGUGCGUAACGCGUAUACAAUCUGCCUUUCACAUAGGGAUAGCCCGAAGAAAUUUGGAUUAAUACCUAAUGGUAUAUAAGAGCGGCAUCGUUUUUAUAUUAAAGCUACGGUGGUGAAAGAUGAGUAUGCGUUCUAUUAGCUAGUUGGAGAGGUAACGGCUCCCCAAGGCGACGAUAGAUAGGGGUUCUGAGAGGGAUGUCCCCCACACUGGUACUGAGAUACGGACCAGACUCCUACGGGAGGCAGCAGUGAGGAAUAUGGGACAAUGGUCGGAAGACUGAUCCAGCCAUGCCGCGUGCAGGAUGAAGGUCCUAUGGAUUGUAAACUGCUUUUGUAAGGGAAGAAUAAGGAGUACGUGUACUGUGAUGGCGGUACCUGACGAAUAAGCAUCGGCUAACUCCGUG